UUGGAUUGCCUCCUUUUCUCACCAACUCCUGAAGGAAUGGAGGCACAGGAAGAGACAACAGUUUGUGGCAGUUUCUUAUCUCAAAAUAUUCAAGAGAAGGUGGUAAGUGGGGAAGUUCAUUUAUAUUUGGGCAAUCUGAGAUGACAAGUUUUCUGAGGCAAGCCAUGUCACCUUCUAUUACUUCAUACCAACUCUCCAAGUUAUGCAUGUUUGCUAUAGACAACAUCUC
rnacentral:lncRNA from 1 species